UGAUGCGUACAACUGAAUGUAUUGAUUCAGAGAAUGUUGUCAUUCAGAGAAUGUAUUGAUGCAUCCAACUGAACGUGUCGCACGAUGUUCUACCUAUUAAUCAUUUCCAAUCUCGUCUACAGAUUGAUACACACCCAAAAAAGAAUGGCAAAUGGACCGUAGAAUUGGAUAGGAAAAAUCUGAUGUGCAAAGCAAAACACCGGCGGCCGGAAAAAUCUAACGUGCAAAGCAAAACACCGGCAAGUGGUGUUGUAGUUGACGACGAAGAUCUUGGCCGCGGGGCAUCCCCGCGCGCACAUACGCCCCGUGCAGCGCGUGGAACUGCGCUCCGGUCGGCAUAUCUACUGUUGACGGGCGGCAGGCAGGAGGGCCGGAUCUCCUGUUGACGGGCGGCCGGGAGGGGCUCCGGCGGCGGGCGCCACCCUCUGCCGCGCAGAGGCGUCUGGCGCCGUGCUCGUGCUGGAGGGGCACGCCGUCGAUGAGGGAGGGGCCCACGCGACGGAGCGGCACGGCAGCGCCCCCGAUGACUGUGCACGUGGUGGUGGGCUCCCCGUCGAAGGAGACCGCGGGCGGCGGCCCCCAAGUUGCGACGCGGCGGCGGACCCUGCGAGGGACAGGAGGCAGGACGUGAGCGGUGAGGGUGGGGCUGUC
rnacentral:lncRNA from 1 species